CUUGGAUAACCGUGGUAAUUCUAGAGCUAAUACAUGCUAAAAACCCCGACUUCGGGAGGGGUGUAUUUAUUAGAUAAAAAACCAACGCCCUUCGGGGCUCCUUGGUGAUUCAUGAUAACUUAACGAAUCGCAUGGCCUUGCGCCGGCGAUGGUUCAUUCAAAUUUCUGCCCUAUCAACUUUCGAUGGUAGGAUAGUGGCCUACCAUGGUAUCAACGGGUAACGGGGAAUUAGGGUUCGAUUCCGGAGAGGGAGCCUGAGAAACGGCUACCACAUCCAAGGAAGGCAGCAGGCGCGCAAAUUACCCAAUCCCGACACGGGGAGGUAGUGACAAUAAAUACUGAUACAGGGCUCUUUUGGGUCUUGUAAUUGGAAUGAGUACAAUUUAAAUCCCUUAACGAGGAACAAUUGGAGGGCAAGUCUGGUGGACGCACAGCGCCCGCUGGCGCCAGAAAGAGUAGGGUCUCUCACCGGUCAAUCGCCGGAUGGGGCCCGCUAGUCGAGUGCCUAUCGCAGCGGCGGGUAGGUGCCGGCGAGACAACCUCGGUCGGGGAAGGCUAAAGCGGUGUCGGUGCUGCCAGGCCAAUCCCGAGCGGAGCUAUCUUAGAUGGCCCGUGUAGAGCGCGCAGAGGUGUCGGUCGAGCCGUUGCAACGACGGUCGGCUUAAGGGACGUGCCAUCCCCCGUGAAAACGGGGCUCUAACCCGAAGCGCCCGCCGCGCGAUGGGUUGGGGGGACCACUUUGGGGUUCGAAUAGCGACGUCGGGGAUCAGUCUUACCCGAUUACAUGGCCAGCAGCCGCGGUAAUUCCAGCUCCAAUAGCGUAUAUUAAAGUUGUUGCAGUUAAAAAGCUCGUAGUUGAACCUUGGGCCUGGCUGGCCGGUCCGCCUCACCGCGUGCACUGGUCCGGCCGGGCCUUUCCUUCUGGGGAGCCGCAUGCCCUUCACUGGGUGUGCCGGGGAACCAGGACUUUUACUUUGAAAAAAUUAAGUGUUCAAAGCAGGCCUUUGCUCGAAUACAUUAGCAUGGAAUAUA
rnacentral:rRNA from 1 species